GUCCACGCCCUAAACGAUGUCGACUAGUUGUUGGGGAAGGUAACUUCCUUAGUAACGCAGCUAACGCGUGAAGUCGACCGCCUGGGGAGUACGGCCGCAAGGUUAAAACUCAAAGGAAUUGACGGGGACCCGCACAAGCGGUGGAUGAUGUGGAUUAAUUCGAUGCAACGCGAAAAACCUUACCUACCCUUGACAUGCUAGGAGCCCUGCUGAGAGGCGGGGGUCCCGAAAGGGACCUAGACACAGGUGCUGCAUGGCUGUCGU
rnacentral:rRNA from 1 species